rnacentral:rRNA from 1 species
UGCAUAUCAAAAAAGCGGAGGAAAAGAAACCAACCGGGAUUGCCUUAGUAACGGCGAGUGAAGCGGCAAAAGCUCAAAUUUGAAAUCUGGUACCUUCGGUGCCCGAGUUGUAAUUUGGAGAGGGCAACUUUGGGGCCGUUCCUUGUCUAUGUUCCUUGGAACAGGACGUCAUAGAGGGUGAGAAUCCCGUGUGGCGAGGAGUGCGGUUCUUUGUAAAGUGCCUUCGAAGAGUCGAGUUGUUUGGGAAUGCAGCUCUAAGUGGGUGGUAAAUUCCAUCUAAAGCUAAAUAUUGGCGAGAGACCGAUAGCGAACAAGUACAGUGAUGGAAAGAUGAAAAGAACUUUGAAAAGAGAGUGAAAAAGUACGUGAAAUUGUUGAAAGGGAAGGGCAUUUGAUCAGACAUGGUGUUUUGUGCCCUCUGCUCCUUGUGGGUAGGGGAAUCUCGCAUUUCACUGGGCCAGCAUCAGUUUUGGUGGCAGGAUAAAUCCAUAGGAAUGUAGCUUGCCUCGGUAAGUAUUAUAGCCUGUGGGAAUACUGCCAGCUGGGACUGAGGACUGCGACGUAAGUCAAGGAUGCUGGCAUAAUGGUUAUAUGCCGCCCGUCUU